rnacentral:rRNA from 1 species
UACGAAGGGGGCGAGCGUUGUUCGGAUUUACUGGGCGUAAAGGGCGCGUAGGCGGCAGAUUAAGUCAGCUGUGAAAUCUCCGAGCUUAACUCGGAACUGUCAGCUGAUACUGUUUUGCUAGAGUGCGGAAGGGGCAAUCGGAAUUCUUGGUGUAGCGGUGAAAUGCGUAGAUAUCAAGAGGAACACCUGAGGUGAAGACGGGUUGCUGGGCCGACGCUGACGCUGAGUGCGCGAAAGCCAGGGGAGCAAACGGG